UUUGUUGCCAGCGGUCCGGCCGGGAACUCAAAGGAGACUGCCAGUGAUAAACUGGAGGAAGGUGGGGAUGACGUCAAGUCAUCAUGGCCCUUACGACCAGGGCUACACACGUGCUACAAUGGCGCAUACAAAGAGAAGCGACCUCGCGAGAGCAAGCGGACCUCAUAAAGUGCGUCGUAGUCCGGAUUGGAGUCUGCAACUCGACUCCAUGAAGUCGGAAUCGCUAGUAAUCGUGGAUCAGAAUGCCACGGUGAAUACGUUCCCGGGCCUUGUACACACCGCCCGUCACACCAUGGGAGUGGGUUGCAAAAGAAGUAGGUAGCUUAACCUUCGGGAGGGCGCUUACCACUUUGUGAUUCAUGACUGGGGUGAAGUCGUAACAAGGUAACCGUAGGGGAACCUGCGGUUGGAUCACCUCCUUACCUUAAAGAAGC
rnacentral:rRNA from 1 species